ACCUGUUUAGCUCAGUUGGUAGAGUGCAAGCCUCUUAACCUUGUGAUCGUGGGUUUGAGUCCUGUUGUGGGCA
rnacentral:tRNA from 1 species